GCCCGGAUGGCGAAACUGGUAGACGCAUCGGACUUAAAAUCCGCCGGCCGCGAGGCCAUGCCGGUUCGAUUCCGGCUCCGGGCACCA
rnacentral:tRNA from 10 species